GACGAACGCUGGCGGCGUGCCUAAUACAUGCAAGUCGAACGCUUCUUUCCUCCCGAGUGCUUGCACUCAAUUGGAAAGAGGAGUGGCGGACGGGUGAGUAACACGUGGGUAACCUACCCAUCAGAGGGGGAUAACACUUGGAAACAGGUGCUAAUACCGCAUAACAGUUUAUGCCGCAUGGCAUAAGAGUGAAAGGCGCUUUCGGGUGUCGCUGAUGGAUGGACCCGCGGUGCAUUAGCUAGUUGGUGAGGUAACGGCUCACCAAGGCCACGAUGCAUAGCCCAACUGAGGGGGGGAUAGGCCACACCGGGACUGAGACACGGGCCAAAAUCCUAAGGGAGGCAGCAGGAGGGAAUCUUCCGGAAUGGGCGAAAAGCUGACGGAGGAAAGGCGCGGGAGUGGAAAAGGUUUUCGGGACCGAAAACUCUGUUUUUAAGGAAAAACAAAUGUGUAAGUAAACAGACACGCCCUUAAGGUAAUUUAUCAAAAAACCCAGGCUAACUUCGUG
rnacentral:rRNA from 1 species